GACGAACGCUGGCGGCAUGCCUAACACAUGCAAGUCGAACGGAGAUUAUUUCGGUAAUCUUAGUGGCGAACGGGUGAGUAACGCGUGGGCAACCUGCCCUCUAGAUGGGGACAACAUCCCGAAAGGGGUGCUAAUACCGAAUGUGACAGCAAUCUCGCAUGAGAAUGCUGUGAAAGAUGGCCUCUAUUUAUAAGCUAUCGCUAGAGGAUGGGCCUGCGUCUGAUUAGCUAGUUGGUGGGGUAACGGCCUACCAAGGCGAUGAUCAGUAGCCGGUCUGAGAGGAUGAACGGCCACAUUGGGACUGAGACACGGCCCAGACUCCUACGGGAGGCAGCAGUGGGGAAUCUUCCGCAAUGGGCGAAAGCCUGACGGAGCAAUGCCGCGUGAGUGAUGAAGGAAUUCGUUCCGUAAAGCUCUUUUGUUUAUGACGAAUGUGCAGAUUGUGAACAAUGAUCUGUAAUGACGGUAGUAAACGAAUAAGCCACGGCUAACUACGUG
rnacentral:rRNA from 1 species